rnacentral:tRNA from 1 species
UGCUGGAUAGCUCAGUUGGUGGAGCAUGAGACUCUUAAUCUCAGGGUUAUGGGUUUGAGCCCCACUUUGGGCAA